AAUAAGAUCAUUUUUCGUUUUUCCGUGUCCAAUGUUUGACCAUUCGUCUUAUUUGAAAAAAAUUUGCGAUUAAUAUUUUUGUUUUUAUUAGAUGAUAAAACAUGAAUAGUACUUUAUGUGUGACUAAUUUUUUUAAGUUUUUAUACAAAUUUUUCAAAUAAGACGAAUGGUUAAACGUUGGGCACGGAAAAACGAAAAAUGAUCUUAUU
rfam:Oryza brachyantha chromosome 9, whole genome shotgun sequence.